GGGUUGUGAGGUUAAGCGACUAAGCGUACACGGUGGAUGCCCUGGCAGUCAGAGGCGAUGAAGGACGUGCUAAUCUGCGAAAAGCGUCGGUAAGGUGAUAUGAACCGUUAUAACCGGCGAUGUCCGAAUGGGGAAACCCAGUGCAAUUCGUUGCACUAUCGUUAACUGAAUACAUAGGUUAACGAGGCGAACCGGGGGAACUGAAACAUCUAAGUACCCCGAGGAAAAGAAAUCAACCGAGAUUCCCCCAGUAGCGGCGAGCGAACGGGGAGCAGCCCAGAGUCUGAAUCAGCUUGUGUGUUAGUGGAACGGUCUGGAAAGUCCGACGGUACAGGGUGAUAGUCCCGUACACCAAAAUGCACAGGUUGUGAACUCGAAGAGUAGGGCGGGACACGUGGUAUCCUGUCUGAAUAUGGGGGGACCAUCCUCCAAGGCUAAAUACUCCUGACUGACCGAUAGUGAACCAGUACCGUGAGGGAAAGGCGAAAAGAACCCCGGCGAGGGGAGUGAAAAAGAACCUGAAACCGUGUACGUACAAGCAGUGGGAGCACCUUCGGGUGUGACUGCGUACCUUUUGUAUAAUGGGUCAGCGACUUAUAUUCUGUAGCAAGGUUAACCGUAUAGGGGAGCCGCAGGGAAACCGAGUCUUAACUGGGCGUUAAGUUGCAGGGUAUAGACCCGAAACCCGGUGAUCUAGCCAUGGGCAGGUUGAAGGUUGGGUAACACUAACUGGAGGACCGAACCGACUAAUGUUGAAAAAUUAGCGGAUGACUUGUGGCUGGGGGUGAAAGGCCAAUCAAACCGGGAGAUAGCUGGUUCUCCCCGAAAGCUAUUUAGGUAGCGCCUCGUGAACUCAUCUUCGGGGGUAGAGCACUGUUUCGGCUAGGGGGUCAUCCCGACUUACCAACCCGAUGCAAACUACGAAUACCGAAGAAUGUUAUCACGGGAGACACACGGCGGGUGCUAACGUCCGUCGUGAAGAGGGAAACAACCCAGACCGCCAGCUAAGGUCCCAAAGUCAUGGUUAAGUGGGAAACGAUGUGGGAAGGCACAGACAGCCAGGAUGUUGGCUUAGAAGCAGCCAUCAUUUAAAGAAAGCGUAAUAGCUCACUGGUCGAGUCGGCCUGCGCGGAAGAUGUAACGGGGCUAAACCAUGCACCGAAGCUGCGGCAGCGACACUAUGUGUUGUUGGGUAGGGGAGCGUUCUGUAAGCCUGCGAAGGUGACCUGUGAGGGUUGCUGGAGGUAUCAGAAGUGCGAAUGCUGACAUAAGUAACGAUAAAGCGGGUGAAAAGCCCGCUCGCCGGAAGACCAAGGGUUCCUGUCCAACGUUAAUCGGGGCAGGGUGAGUCGACCCCUAAGGCGAGGCCGAAAGGCGUAGUCGAUGGGAAACAGGUUAAUAUUCCUGUACUUGGUGUUACUGCGAAGGGGGGACGGAGAAGGCUAUGUUAGCCGGGCGACGGUUGUCCCGGUUUAAGCAUGUAGGCUGGUUAUCCAGGCAAAUCCGGAUAAUCAAGGCUGAGGUGUGAUGACGAGGCACUACGGUGCUGAAGUAACAAAUGCCCUGCUUCCAGGAAAAGCCUCUAAGCAUCAGGUAACAUCAAAUCGUACCCCAAACCGACACAGGUGGUCAGGUAGAGAAUACCAAGGCGCUUGAGAGAACUCGGGUGAAGGAACUAGGCAAAAUGGUGCCGUAACUUCGGGAGAAGGCACGCUGGUGUGUAGGUGAAGCCCCUGCGGGUGGAGCUGAGACCAGUCGAAGAUACCAGCUGGCUGCAACUGUUUAUUAAAAACACAGCACUGUGCAAACACGAAAGUGGACGUAUACGGUGUGACGCCUGCCCGGUGCCGGAAGGUUAAUUGAUGGGGUUAUCCGUAAGGAGAAGCUCUUGAUCGAAGCCCCGGUAAACGGCGGCCGUAACUAUAACGGUCCUAAGGUAGCGAAAUUCCUUGUCGGGUAAGUUCCGACCUGCACGAAUGGCGUAAUGAUGGCCAGGCUGUCUCCACCCGAGACUCAGUGAAAUUGAACUCGCUGUGAAGAUGCAGUGUACCCGCGGCAAGACGGAAAGACCCCGUGAACCUUUACUAUAGCUUGACACUGAACAUUGAGCCUUGAUGUGUAGGAUAGGUGGGAGGCUUUGAAGCGUGGACGCCAGUCUGCGUGGAGCCAACCUUGAAAUACCACCCUUUAAUGUUUGAUGUUCUAACGUUGGCCCCUUAUCGGGGUUGCGGACAGUGUCUGGUGGGUAGUUUGACUGGGGCGGUCUCCUCCCAAAGCGUAACGGAGGAGCACGAAGGUUAGCUAAUCCUGGUCGGACAUCAGGAGGUUAGUGCAAUGGCAUAAGCUAGCUUGACUGCGAGCGUGACGGCGCGAGCAGGUGCGAAAGCAGGUCAUAGUGAUCCGGUGGUUCUGAAUGGAAGGGCCAUCGCUCAACGGAUAAAAGGUACUCCGGGGAUAACAGGCUGAUACCGCCCAAGAGUUCAUAUCGACGGCGGUGUUUGGCACCUCGAUGUCGGCUCAUCACAUCCUGGGGCUGAAGUAGGUCCCAAGGGUAUGGCUGUUCGCCAUUUAAAGUGGUACGCGAGCUGGGUUUAGAACGUCGUGAGACAGUUCGGUCCCUAUCUGCCGUGGGCGCUGGAGAAUUGAGGGGGGCUGCUCCUAGUACGAGAGGACCGGAGUGGACGCAUCACUGGUGUUCGGGUUGUCAUGCCAAUGGCACUGCCCGGUAGCUAAAUGCGGAAGAGAUAAGUGCUGAAAGCAUCUAAGCACGAAACUUGCCCCGAGAUGAGUUCUCCCUGAGACUUUAAGUCUCCUGAAGGAACGUUGAAGACGACGACGUUGAUAGGCCGGGUGUGUAAGCGCAGCGAUGCGUUGAGCUAACCGGUACUAAUGAACCGUGAGGCUUAACCUUACAACGCCGAAG
rnacentral:rRNA from 1 species